AGNNUGCGCAUGGGGGAACCCUGACGCAGCGACGCCGCGUGCGGGAUGAAGGCCUUCGGGUUGUAAACCGCUUUUGAUUGGGAGCAAGCUUUCGGGUGAGUGUACCUUUCGAAUAAGCGCCGGCUAACUACGUGCCAGCAGCCGCGGUAAUACA
rnacentral:rRNA from 1 species